rnacentral:lncRNA from 1 species
AAGCAGGUUCCCCCUAGGCAGAGCGCCAAGAAGCAGCCCAGGCGAUCCCAAGGCGCACAAGUGCUCUCACCAGGCUGCGCGCUGGCGGGUCGGUGCACAGGGACGGGGUCGCCGCCCACGCGCGCUUGGUUCAGGGAGCCCAGGCUGUCCCUACCCGCGGCUACAAAAGCUCGCCGAGUCUUCCUGUCCACCCAAUCGCCCCACAUGUCAGCGGUUGGUCGCCUCGCGGUGCAGUGCUGGGCACGCGAGCCCCUCCCGCAGUCAUUCUCAGCACAAGCACCAGCCUGGAGCCCCGCAGCGACAGAGCUGAGAGCCCCCAAGCCGCAGAGGUCGUGCGGAGCAGGUUGGUCUAAUUGAAGGCAAUGGAGAAGUAAGUCUUUAUGGAUCAAAAUCUUAGCUCUAGAAAAGGCCUAAGGCAAUAGCUAAUUGAGACUAUGCAUCACUAUUAAGGCAUCUUCACUAAAGGGCGCUGUGGAAACGCUGCCUGAGAUGCAGACACCUGUCAGAAGGGGGCUAAAUUUCAAACAAGGAACGUGGUGUUGCAUCACAAUAAAGUAGAUUCUAGUAUUACCUUCCUUUUUCAGAAGAGGAGACCAAUGGGGAGCAUUGGAAUGAUUUGGUUGCAAGCAUACUACACUACUUGUAAACUGCAGACACAGGCUUAAAAAAAGUGAAAAACUAACCAUGCAAUAAAGAAUGGAAUGAACCAUGAAGCUGUUUCUGUGGCCAGUCAUGUUUUUGAAGCAUAUCCCAUGCUAAUUUCUAGAACAGAAGAAACACACGUGUUCUUGUGUGUAAACCCAGUCCAUGGAAGAGACCGUCUGCUUGUCCCUCCUGAUCUCUGGGCCCAGACAACCAGUAGUCACCAUUCCAAGUGAGGGGUGGCUGCAACUCUACAGCCCCGUUCGUCUCUCCUCACUGUCAAAGCUGCUGAGACCCCAGACUCGACACUUGAAAGAAACCCAUGUCUGUGAAGCACUUGUGGACCAUUCAAGAUUGUGGAAGAAUCACUCAAGAGAAGGAGAUAGCAAUAUUUGCAGAUAUGCAAACUGGCCCCUUGCAUGCACAUCCUGGAGCACGUCCUGGAGCCUUUAGAGGAGACGGCUGCUGCUGUUCCAGUCUCUCCUUAGGCAGACUUGAGUUUCUACCCACUCUUCCCAAGCAGCCGCCCCUCCGCACCCGAGCGAGCCAAAGACCUGGCGGGCUGAGUACUCACUGCGCGCUGGACACAUGCUGAGCCGGCACUGCAGGGACACAGGGCGAGCCGCUGGAUGCAGACCUGUGGCCGCGGCAGGUCCUAGCACAGCACCUGACACA